AGGGGCUGGGCUGUGGGUCUCGGUUCUCGGGGGCCGGAGCGGUGGGUCACGGCUCUCCGAGCCGGGCCGGGGCCGCUCGGUCUGGGGGCGGCGGGAAGCACUGCGGCGGCGCCGGGCUCCUCUCCGCCCGCCGCAGUUCGGCGGCUGCCUGCGGGGUGUGGGGAACGGUGGAGCCGCUGCCGGAGCAGAGGGCAGAAGAGGAAAAAGCCGGCAGGGCAGGAGUGUUAGAAGGCAAGAGGAAGGCUGCAGCCCUUACAUGGGAAAAUACGGGCUAAUCUCCUGAUGGGGGUGGGCGUGUGUGUGUCUGUCUGUCUGUCUGCAUUCGAGCUGCUGAUCCAGCAUUUUGAUAGCAACAGUUCGGGAGCCUGGUAGACUACAGCGGGAGUGAAUGUGACCACACCACCCAGCAGCUCAUCCCGGCUGGGUUAAUGCGAGCGGAGAGACAGCAGCUCCAGUCCUUUCCCAGAGUGUCUUCAGUGGGAAAGUUUUGGGGAGGGGUUGCCUUCUGGGGGCGAGGAGGGAUGGUGCACAUAGAGCCUCUGGGAGAAAGGGAGAUUUCCUAUUCGGCUUUUUCUUCUCCGCCCUGCAGCUUGAAUAAAUUCCUUCACAGAGAAGACAUUUUUAUGCUAGGUUUAAAUUGUGUCAGCACCAGACAUGCAAAAUAUCUUUUGUAAUGUUUCUUCUUCAGUGCUGGAACAUGGGUCUUAUUUUUCAGAUUUACUCCAACCUGGGUCUAUGGACUGAGGGCCCCAUGAGCACUCACAACACGUCAGAUGCAGUCCUGGAGCUUGAAUUCUGCCUCAGUGCCCUCUGCACCCACUUUGUGUACUCACCACUGCUCAGUGAACCACAGCCUGGUGAGGCUGAUCUGGAGAUUUACUUCAAAAGCGUGCCCUUGAUCCACACCAAAACAUGAAUGUGGAUGUGCCCACGGCGUGACGGGCAGAAAGAGAGCUGGUGUGACUUUCCCAAGGCUGAGAGCUGGAGCCUGCUCCACAGCAUACCAUUCUAGCACCCUCCCCUCAAAUCAGCUUUCUGCCUGGUGCCAAGCCUCCACCUCUGAGAGCACAUUGGCUCUCAGGUCUCUUCUUUGGCAGGGAGCUGUGCAGUGUUCCAUGAGUAUAGACACUCUUCAUUUACUGCUUGCAUGCCUUCACCUAGCUCAGUCAGGUGUUUUACCUCCUGCUAUUCAUUGUACCAGGGCCUGAAAUAGCAGGGAUACUAAGCUCCCUGUGUCACUUGAGCUGUGCUAUUGGUGUAAAGAAGGAGAAAAAUCAAGUACUGUUAUUAACCCCACAAUUAUUUAAAGACCCAGUCUGACAUUCUUUCCUUGGCCAGGGGCCUUGCUUAUAAUGGAAUUUUGAUAAAUGUGUCUAAAUUAGGCAUGUGUUGGGAUUAGACAUGAGUAGAAAUUGCUUGGCAUUAAAAUUGUGGAAAAACUUUGUUUCACACAUGUGAACAGUGUCUUGGUUAAAACUGGCUUUAUAAACCUAGGGAGAAGCAAACCAGUAUGCAUUUCUUUAUGCAAUUUAUACCUUCCAUGGUAUACACCAAGGUCCCCAAGUCAGUGUUUGCUUGGCUAAUGGCAUCUCUACAGCAGUUCAUUUACUUCCCUUAUAUGGCCUUUACAUUCAUGCCCUGAGCUGCUGCCAUCCUGCAUUCCCUCACAGAAACUGUACGCUGAAUUCUACAUCUCUCCUGAAGCAUCUUAUCUUGCCAACUGUCUCUGAAUGCCCCCACAAGCUGGCUGCAUAACUUCAGCACUUGUAGGGCAAUAAGCAUUAUUUCACCAUCCAUUUUCUGUCAGAGGAGUUUUGUUUUGAUUAGAAACAAACACAUUGUGUGGAUAAAUUAACAUCCAAAUUCUCAUUCCAUUUUUUUUCCUAAGGUUUACAACACAGCACGCUUCAACUGUAUCUGCAUUUGCUCCCCUUUCAGAGAACAUUGUUCUUAGAAGUAUUUCUGCUGGGAAAGUUAGCAGAAAUAUUUCAAUCACAUCUAGCCUGUCUGAAAGAAAACGGGAGUUAUCACGUAGUGCUUCAGGAUCCACAGUCCCUUUUGUAACCACGAAAGCAGAUAGACCUCCUCAGAGCAGAGCGAUAAAAGUCACAGUCCCCAAGGUCUUCUCUAUACUGAAAUAGCAGCUGGUUUAAAAACUGGUUUUAGUGUUUUGAAAUUUAAGAGAAUAUGCUUCAGAGUUGGUCACGGGAACCUGAGUCCCAGAUUCCCCACUGCUGGAGCCUCUGGAAGUCAGAGUGGAUCAAACACCCAUGAAUACACUGUCAGAAAACUACCCUGGUAGGGAUACGGGGAAAUAUGCCUAUAGAUUUUACCAUUUUUCUUCUCCCUAACCCAUUGACUAAGCUGCUGUUACAGCUGGGGCCCUACAGACUUGAUGGAGCUCAUCAGAGCAGCAGAAUAAAGGCAGAAAAUCCUGUCACUGGACCUAACUCAAUCCUCACAUCACAGGGAACAAUACACAUCACAGGCUCGGCCACAGACUCUUCCAUCACAGCAUAUCCUGUAAGACAAUCCACUGUCUAUAAAAUGCCAUAGGGAAAUAUGUAUGUUCCCAAACUAUGAGGAAAAUGAAGCAGUUACCAAACCUCCAUCUUAUUCUUCAGUCUUUGACAAUAAAAAGAAACAAGACGUUUUUAUCUUGCAGGCCACCACCUGGUUUUCUCUUGUGUGGUCUGCAGGAGAGUGAUCAUGCAGACAUGGUUCCGAGCAUCUUACAAAACUGGAUCUUCAGGUCAUGUCUGUACUUGAUUUCAAAUGAAAAAGAAAGGUGUAGGCACAACAAUAGACUUGAGGCUACAUACUGGGAGCAGCAGAAAGUCAACCCAAUUAUUCAAAUACAGUCACUAAAAACCAAACAGACAAGUAUUGCUAGGAAAAUCAUCUGAUAAUUAAUAUAUUUGCCUGAAAUACGUCCAAUCCCAGCAGCUGGGAAAAAACAAAAUCAACUAAAUAGGCAGAAAAAGAGAACUGCAAGUCUAACACCUGCAAAUUUCUCUGAGGAAGGUAAGAAAACAAAUUCAAGUCAGCACAUCCAUGUAGUGUCUUUUCCAUGUCAAACACAUUGCAUGUUUUCUACUGUGGAAGGAAAUAGACUCCCAAGAACUGGGGCUGACAUCAAAACCUGAAUCCUGACCUAAAAACUUAGCUCUGAACAAAAAAUCCUCUCUCCACUUCCAUUCCAAAAAUGCAUUAUGAUUAGUGCUUAUUUUUGUGGUGACAAUUUUUAUAAAUCAUCUUACUGACAGUAUAUGAACAGAACACAUUUCUGGAGGACAGUUGUCUUACUGGAUAUAACGCUGUUGUUAACAUCAGUCUGUUAACCAACACACAUGCACAUACAAACAACUUGUCAGUGUAACAUAAGAAAAAGGAAACAUCCUUUAUUAUUUGCCAUAAACCCUCCUUAUGUUGUUUCAGCUUUAGAAAAUUAUUACUUAUCUAUUAUAUAAAAGCCACCAGGUGAUCUGCAUUUUACAAGGCUCUAAAAUAGUAGCUACAGCAAAUCAAGCUACUGAUUGUUUCUUUGUGCCCUUCUGCUGACAAGCCUGGUGGCUCUGGGAGAGGCCAGAGAGGUUUAUUCUGCACCAGCCUCACAGCUGAAGGAAGGAAUGCCUGCUCUGCUCUCGCAGACACUGCCAAGGUGACAGCUCUGGGAUGACGGGUCCCAGACUCAUCCUCCUUCAACAGGGAAUUGGCUUAGUCCUGCACAAACUCAGGAAAAACGCAGAUGAUUUCAAUCCUAAAUUUCCACUGUCCCCAAGUGGACUUUGAAAAAUAAGGAAUGUCUGGAUGAUGAAUGAGUAAUUUCCUGGUAAGAAACUGACAGCAUGUUUUCUCUGCAUAUAGAACCAAUACAAAUAAUUUAAUUGUGGCAUCUUAUUUACCGGGGGAACAUCUGUCUGUUUUCCCUUGACACUAUUAAAUAAAGAUGUGGGGAAUGUGCUGCAAGCAGGUAUUGCCACAGUGUUUUCUUGCAUUUCACGGCAUGUGUGUUCACAGAAAAAAGAUUUUUUAAGGACGCAUGCAACCAGAAGAAGAUUUUCCUGUUUAAUUUAAAGCCUCAGUUAGGGAUCAGCUUUAAGCUGAGAGUCACAUUUUAAAACCAGGGCCAGAAGCAGGCUGCUCCUCAAGUUAGCCCCAUAGGGUGCCCAAGUGCAGUAGAGGCUGUAGUGGCGCUUGGUGCUGCUGAAGUGGCACUCGCUGGGUGUCCAGGACAGGGAGGGCAUGGAGAAGUGGUGGAAAAGGGGACAGGCCAGCCUGCAAGCACAGGUAGGCUUCACACCUCCUGGGCUCUGUGGAAAUAGCAGGGGAUUUGGUCUUUCUUCCUGCUGAAGCAUUUGGUGCGGGCUGCAGACAAAGACGUGCGCAUGAAAAGUGGGGGCAGAGAGCAGAGCUUGUUUCUGUUUUACACAAAGUUUGAAUGAUUUCUAAUAGCCCUGUGCCAUUAUCUUGAGUUUCCUGAGGUGCCUUUGCACAACCUGCAACAGUGGCUUUAGUGUCACAGUUUGCAUAAACCAUGUGUAUCUGAGAUGGGGAUAGAAGGCAGGGCCAUGUUCCUCCCCCCAGCCUUUUGCCACAGAACUGGAGCUGAGCUGCUUCGCCCCUUGAGCUCUAGCAAUCAUUUGCAUCUAGGUCACUAUAUUAGAUCACAUUCCCAAGGAUGACGCUAAUGAUUUCUGGGGUUUUUAGAAAGGGAAGAUGAAAAUCCUUUUGUUGGGGACAAAGGCCAAUUUGUUCUACAAGUGGAAGCUCAUUUACUCCCCAUCAUACCUCUGAGGUUUGUACAGCUCUCAGGUGGUUCCAUGCAGGGUGAACCCCUGUCAUCUCCCACAGAUUCAUUCACAGGAAAAUUGGAAUGCCAUCUCUUGUCAGCUGAAAUGCAAACAGUGCCCACUUUGCCAUGUAUCAAUGUCCAAAACAUGUUCUCAGUGGGGGAAGAGCUAAGCUCAUUUUUUAAAGCUUUCUAAAAGACUUGUCAAUAGAAAAUCCAGUAUAUAUAGUAUUCAUAUACCUACAUGGCUAUGCAUUUUUGUAUUAUAAAAGUAUACCUCCAUAUAUUACAGAUAUUGCACAGGGAGUACCUGAGACCCAGACUGGGUUGUAGAGCCCAGGCUACCUGUGCCUGGGGAGCAACAGGUUCCUAUUCAGCCACAGUGGGUCAAAUCAUGUUCUGGCCAUGCCUUGUGCUCACAGGGAGGCUGCAGUGAGCUGAAGAGAGGUGUAUCUUGGACUGUGUGUCUGUGUUAAAUCUUUUGCUUUGACUCAUGUUAUCCUUCAAAUUAGAAGUUGUUCUUCCUAUGUCAUUCAAAUGCAUAGUUUCUUGUUUCCACCAAAAGCUGCAUGCUCUGGGAAGAGCUCUUCACUGCAUGUAGAAGGGUUCUCUCUGUAUUAUGUAGUAGCAAAAUAACCUAGUCAUAGAUUGUGCUUCUGCAAUAUAACUACAUAUUUCAAUAUUUCCUGCUGAAAUAGCUAAUUAGCAAGGUCGUUACAGUUGCCACUUAUAAGGGGGAAGAUAGUAAUUCCAUUAAUAUGCUCACAGGAACUUCAUUUAUAUUACCUCUUAACCUUUAUAAGGAUAUUAUCAUUUCAAUAAUUAAUUGCUUUUUGCCAUUUAAUUUGCAGUUUACCAUUUUCAAGGGAAAUUACCCAUUAAACCAAGGACUAUUUUUUU